rnacentral:lncRNA from 1 species
CCACCUCUAUGCCUGGCUAAUUUUUGUAUUUUUAGUAGAGACUGGGUUUCACCAUGUUGGUCAGGCUGGUCUUGAACUCCUGACCUCAGGUAAUCUGCCUGCCUCAGCUUCUCAAAGUGCUGGGAUUAUAGGCAUGAGCCACCACACCCAGCCUGGUAUUAGACACUCUUAAACAACCAGUUCUCUCCUGAGAACUCCCUCACAAGAACAGCACUAGGAGGAUGGUGCUAAACUGUUAGAAAUGGCCCCCAUGAUCCAAUCACCUCCCACCAGGUCCUACCUCCAGCAUUGGGGAUUACAUUUCAACAUGAGAUUUGGGUGAGGACACAGAUCCAAAACAUAUCAGGUUCUAAUGCAUAUUUGUUACUGUGUGAUUUGCCCAAACUUGUAUUUCCAGGAACGUUGAAAGAACUGCACCUCGAGGGAGAGGUCUUGUGAGUUCAGCCCUGGCCAGGCACCAACUGCAACCCGACAAUUGCUGGGGAGAUCACACUGGUCUCCAGGGUCUUAAACUCCAGAGACUGGGGAGCUGCCACGGACUGGAGGACCCCCGAGAGGCACAAUGCUGGCCCUGUGAGACCUCGGGCACAAGAAUGGAUGUCACUGGGCUCACAGCGACAUUAGGAUGAAGCCGAGGUGAGUUCAUAGUAUCACAUCACGGGAAUUUCCUGCUGUGGAUUGUUUGGUCAUGUCAGGUGUUAAUGUCAGGGGGAGUGGCGGGGAAGGCAUAUGAGAUUUCUGUACUUUUUUACAACUGUUUUGUAGGUCUAAAAUUAUUUCAAAUAAAAUAUUUUAAAAAAUAAAUAUAUGUGGCUGACAGGUUGCCAAUCUUAGCAAGUUUGCUUUGCAACUGAUUCCCUUUGAAGGUCCUCAAGCCACUGUCAGAGUCACCAGGAAAAGAAGCCACCGUCAGGAGGAAACUGAGUGGAAAUAAUGACUGAGAAGCCAGAGAGGGCAGAGUGGGAGAAGCCAGGCAAGGGCUGAGGGUGAAGAGGAUGUGCAGAGUGUAGACCCUGCAGCCAGGCAGGAGGAUGGGUGGCCGGUCUGCGGGCUGUGCCCCUGGGCAGCAUCCAGAGUGACUGAGUGUGGGCUCUUCUGGGAAAGCACCUGAGGCAGCCCAGCAGCUGAAGGAGGUCAUCAGGGUCAGCUGGAGGCCCAGAUGAAUCACAGGGCCCUGGGAGCAGAACUGGGCCCAGCAGGGCUUCUGCCAGGACAGAUUUGAUGCCUUGUGUCACCAGGUAAAGUUUCAGCUAAAUGGCAUGCAGGAGGGAUGCCCUGUGCACCC